UACGUAGGGCGCAAGCGUUUAUCCGGAAUUAUUGGGCGUAAAGAGCUCGUAGGCGGUUUGUCGCGUCUGCCGUGAAAGUCCGGGGCUCAACUCCGGAUCUGCGGUGGGUACGGGCAGACUAGAGUGAUGUAGGGGAGACUGGAAUUCCUGGUGUAGCGGUGCAAAUGCGCAGAUAAUCGAGGAGGAACACCGAUGGCGAAGGCAGGUCUCUGGGCAUUAACUGACGCUGAGGAGCGAAAGCAUGGGGAGCGAACAGG
rnacentral:rRNA from 1 species